CACCUCCAGGGACAGAGCAUCCACAGCCUCUCUGGGCAGCCUGUGCCAGCACCUCACCACUCUCUCUGUAAAGAGCUUCCCCCGGACAUCCAAUCGAAACCUUCCCUCCUUCAGCUUAAAACCACUCCGCCUUGUCCUAUCACCAUCCACCACAGUAAGAAGUUAGUUCCCCUCCUGUCUAUAAUCCCCUUUUAAACACUAACUCACAUCUACGGAGCGAGCCGCGUAUGCACCAGUUCUGCGACAGUUACAGCAAACGAACGGAACCGACCUAUUUCCCUAUUUUGCACCACUGGAGGGCGUUCCUUUCCCUUGCACAACUGAGAGCAGCAGGCAGGCGGCGGAGGCGCUGCAGGAAGGUUUGCGCUGCUUUAUCAGCAUCCCCGUGACACCGACCCACGGCAAUUAAAAUGAACAAGAAACCCUAAAACAAGGUGUUGCACGGACAACAGAUCGUCAGCAUCUCCAAGCUGCUCCCAUCGGUCGGCAUUCGCUGGCAGCUGCGCAACAGUUUGGUGGCACCUUUGCAUCCCAUGAUUUGGAAAGGCUCCCAGUUUCCAGGGUGAAGGUUUGUGCAACAUACAGGACGGGACGAGGAGGAACCAGCUAUAAGCACACCCGGCGGCAUUCACCCAGAGCGUACAGCGAAGGAAGAAACUUGCACAUCAGUCUGAGAUAUGGAACUGGCACGUUAGCAUCAGAUCACUGGCAAAUAGUGACAGCCCUCUGCAACGACGUUCACCCUCCUGAAAGAGUCCUAGAAGCUGGCAUGCUGAAUGGAACACUACCCACUUAAACGAAGGAGCUGGGCCAGACAAAAGCAUUUGGCUGAGCAACCUGGAACAAGAAGUUGAAAAACUUCUUCUAAAGAUGGACUGGUUAAUAAGCGAAGAACCAGUGGUUGCUGAACAGAGCGUUCGUUCUGAGCUGGAGGAGAACGCCGUACCUCAGAGCUGCAGAUUUGGCCUGCUGUGCCCAAAAGGCAAUGAUACACGCUCACCUCUAAAUCAAGGGAACUAUUAAUCCAUACCCAGAUGUAAGCUCCGUGCUUACAUCAAGGGAACACAAUUUAACCAACCUAAUCCCAUGAAAUCUUUACUCCAAGUUUCUGAGGGUUGCCUGUCCAAGAGCUAAAGCUUACAUAGGCACUUGUAUUCAAUUUCACAUAGCAUUAAAAAGUCUUUUGCUUAAGAAAAAAAUGAAAGUUAAUUUCUAUACGUUGCAUUCAGACACUAAAAGUUUCUUCUGCUUCAGUUCCCGAAUAUUUGAAACUCUACAAAAGCCUCAUAUUUGCUGAUAGGUCAAAAAAGUGAAAGGUCAAGAGUUCAUCGAAAACAUGAGCCAGACCAGCAAUGCUGACAACUGACACGGUGACAAGUGAGGGACAAAUACAUCAGAUAAGGUAGAAGAUACUUGGACUCUCACUCCCGUCCAUGGAGGAGGCUAAAUGCAGUGUGAAGACCGCAUGCUACUCAUUCUUGACAUAGGGCAAGCACACUACUGGAAGACAGAAAGCUUAUAGCAUCGGAAAGCAGCAUCUCCCAAACAAGCAAAUGCUGGAUUUCAACUGCAUCCAGUUGCAGACCCUCAUGAUUCCAAGCCGAUUUCUGGAGGUCCAUUGCCCCAGUGCAGUGGGGGCAAAACAGAUAUGCACAGAUGAAAGAUGACCACAUCCACAAGCAUGAAGGGGAGAGUGAGGCUGGGUGGAAAAAAAGAGGGAAAACAAAACAAAGCAAAAAAAUAAACCAGGUCAAAAAAAAAAGAAAAA